rnacentral:tRNA from 1 species
GGAGAUAUGACUAGUGGACUAAAGUGGUGGAUUGCUAAGCUGUUGUACAAUUUUUUUUUAUGGAGGGUUCGAAUCCCUCUUUUUCUG